ACUGGCUCUUUUAUGAUGUUUUUUUUUAUCUUUAAGAGACACACAAUAUAGAGUGUCUUCUAAACCUGGGUCUUCCCAGUUUUAGAAUUUCCCAGUUUUAGAAUUUCCACAGUAACCAAGAGACCUCUUUUGAGCCAGUUAUUGAACAACACUCACAAGACCACAAGUGUUUCAAGAGAUCCUACUGGAGAUGUGGUUUAUUGAUGUGUAGGGACUGGGAAUGAGCUCCUUGCUCUUCUACUUUGCUGCUGAAGUGAAGUACCCAUGCCCAGUUUUAGACAGAAUAGGACUCUUCUGUUCAAAUACAGAGCUCAGAGAGCAAGAUGGAAUGGCUACAACCUUCCUGUUCAUUUUUACUGUAAGAUUUUCUUCACCCUUAUACCAAAAAAGAACGAAGUUUCAUCUUCACUUUGUCACAGCAUCAAGACAACCAUUCACCAGCAAUAGGAACAAGGAUUGAGACAAGUAAUGAAGAUGAAAACCCAAAGUGAAGGAAGUUAAACAUGCCCCAAUUGUUGCAUGACUAAUGAGAUAGCAGCAAAGACCAACAUAAAAAGACUACAAGCAGUUUACUAGAAAGUACCACACAGAGCACCCUGGAGUCAUAUGGGCUCAUCCGUGAGGACCAUGAAGAUUGUGUGUCUGCUUCAAAGGAGAAGACAUCACCUCCCAGAGCAGCCUUCAUUAGAAUCCACAGGGCUGAAAGGAGCUAAAGACCAUCACAAGAUAAUGGAUGUUUCAUGGUUUUCAGCUAUGGAACUCUUUGGACAUGACUACUGCAGUAGGACUGAGGCCAUCCCUUUCCAGUGAAAAUGAGUCUCCAGGAACAUUGGGAAUCUUCUGGAAAGUGGGCAUGCGUGGCAGAGACUCGGAGCUCAACAUCUGCCAACCUGAUGUUUUCAGCAUAGCUGGGGAGGACAGAACCAUGCCUGCAGCCCCACCUGACCAAGACCCUUUCCCGUGAUCACUUGGUUACUGUCCUAGAGCUUUCUGUCAAUUAUACUGGGACAGUUCAGCCUAAGGCACUAAAGGAAACUCAGCUUUUCAGAGAGAAGAAUAACCUCAACCUAUGGGUUUAUCAGAGUUUGAGUGGAUCCCAGAAUAAACCGUUUCCUAGGAAGCACAUUCUCAGGUGAUUUUGAAAUAUUUCCUGUAAGUUUUCCCAGCGGGACUCAGCCACACACAGCCCAGAAGUGACCUGCUCAACGCUCUGCCCAUCUCCAGGCUGCUAUCCCCACCCCAUCUUUCACUGUUCCAUGCUACUGGUUUCCUGAUACCACUUCCAAAAUGUUACACACCCAAGCAUAGAGCUCAGAUUCUAAGUUCAGGGAACCCAAACUAAGAUAUACAAGUUACAUUUCAUAGUUCAAUGUAACUCUCUACUAUUCUUUCAUUACCACAAAUGACCAAUAUCAAAAUGCCAAAUUACUCAUAUCAGGAAGAAAAGUUGGAGCAUAGAGUCUCUAAUUGAAGUUAUAGUCUAAUUCAAGUUAAUAUGAGUCUAAGUUUUGUUCCCUUAAUCUACAUUCUAAUGUUAUUUGUGCUAAUACCUAAAAAAUGACUUGGCAAACCUUGCACAAAAAGCAGAUAUGGGAUAUACAGGCUUUCAUCAUUUUAAACCUCCCACCAAUAGUACCACAGGCCAAUGCCUCUUUGUUUCUAUCUUUAUACUAAUGAACUAUAAAUUCUUUCAGACAAAAAAUACUGCUUUCCAGGUUUUUGCAGGAGGCUGCAUUCUAUUGGCAUGUUUUGAGAUUUGAAACAAAGCUCAGGGUAGAAGCAGACAGAGCCUCAUUCAUGUUGAUUGUCAAGGUCUCAGGACAAUAUCCAACUUACCCCCACUAUUCUGGGAUUCACCAACUGAACAAGGCUUUAAGGUAGAACUUCCUCAUGGAGGACACAUCUAUAAAUAACCACACAUGGUCAGUAUGCUACAUAAUGUCAUGCGGGGGAAAGCCAGAGAAACUCAUUGUGGCUCAGAUGCCUGGCAGUGCCCAUUAUCAAAGGCUAGUGGUAAGAACGUGUGAAGAAGAGACAGACAACAUCCAUCUUCAAAUUGUCAAGUCCCAGCACAGUGGUCAUCCCUGACAGACUGUGCCAACCAUACAGUUCUAGGGAUGGAGAAAUGUAAGGCCAUUGAAAUGUGUCCCUCAGACUAAGGAGAGGACUCCAAGAUAGGGCUGCACAUACUCAUUUCUUCACCCAAGGGACACCCUGCAAGGCUGCAGGUCCAUCUAAUAGAAGGUCCUUGGUAAUAUUUUAUAAACUCAAGUCAAGAUCUACAAUAGGAAGGUAUCCAGUUACACACAUAUCAGGAACAAGCUACCUACCCAUCUCUUAUAAUGCAAACAAAUACAAAGGGAAAUAAAUUAGAAAUCUUGUGCAAUGCAGAGGGCUGAGCUUCCUCACAGCACUGUGUAAUUCUUGCUCACUCCCUCCCCGGACACCACUGCCAAUUCCUCCUUAAUCCUGAGUUUCCUAAACUUAAAGUUAAGGCUCUAUAGGGGGAAAGACAUAGUCUAAACUUAGCCUUUCCCAAGUACUUACACCUCUCUAGGAUCACAGGCUUUUAAACACAUGCAAGAUUUUCCUUCUAUCCUUGGAUUCCAUAUCCUAACCUGCACACUAAAAGCCAUAGUCAGUCACGCUUUUUGUUUAAAGCUCUUCCAUAUAUCAAGUUGAUAUUUGCAUUUUCUCAAUAGUUGCAAGUUUAGCAGGGUAUGAUCCAGGAGGAAAAUCCUUCGACUGAAGGAAGCCUCCAUGUCCCCUCAGAGAUAGCGACAUGCCAAUGACCAGGGCAAGAUUUGGUUGAUGAUGCAAAACAGCUUCCUAUGGCAAUGUUUCUAAUUACAGCAUCUUCAAUUAUGAAGCUUCAAUCUCAUACAUUUGAAGAUCCUAACUUGCAGCUCCCACUUGGAUUGAGAGAACAGUGUGUGGAUCUAACCUGUGAGGUUGCAAAGGCAUAAGAAUGAUACAAUGGACUCUGGGGACUUGGGAAAAAUGGAAGAGGGACGAGGGAUAAAAGACUACAAAUAUGGUGCAGUGUAUACUGCUCGGGUGAUGGGUGCACCAAAAUCUCACAAAUCACAACUAAAAUACUUAUGAAACCAAGCACCACCUGUACCCCCAUAACUUGUAAAAAAUAAAAUACAUAUCUUUUGAUUCUUCCCUAAAUGA